rnacentral:rRNA from 1 species
CUACGGGAUGCUCCAGUGGGGAAUAUUGCACAAUGGGCGCAAGCCUGAUGCAGCCAUGCCGCGUGUAUGAAGAAGGCCUUCGGGUUGUAAAGUACUUUCAGCGGGGAGGAAGGGAGUAAAGUUAAUACCUUUGCUCAUUGACGUUACCCGCAGAAUAAGCACCGGCUAACUCCGUGCCAGCAGCCGCGGUAAUACGGAGGGUGCAAGCGUUAAUCGGAAUUACUGGGCGUAAGGCGCAUGCAGGCGGUUUGUUAAGUCAGAUGUGAAAUCCCCGGGCUCAACCUGGGAACGGCAUCUGAUACUGGCAAGCUUGAGUCUCGUAGAGGGGGGUAGAAUUCCAGGUGUAGCGGUGAAAUGCGUAGAGAUCUGGAGGAAUACCGGUGGCGAGGGCGGCCCCCUGGACGAAGACUGACGCUCAGGUGCGAAAGCGUGGGGAGCAAACAGGAUUAGAUACCCGGGUAGUC